ACGGGAGGCAGCAGCUAAGAAUAUUCCGCAAUGGGGGAAACCCUGACGGAGCGACGCCGCGUGGACGAUGAAGGCCGGCAGGUUGUAAAGUCCUUUUAUGGCAGAGGAAUAAGCGGGGGAGUGGAAAGCCCCUGUGCUGACUGUAGGCCAUGAAUAAGCACCGGCUAAUUACGUGCCAGCAGCCGCGGUAACACGUAAGGUGCGAGCGUUGUUCGGAAUCAUUGGGCGUAAAGGGCAUGUAGGCGGUCUGUCAAGCCAGGCGUGAAAGCCGGGGGCUCAACCCCCGAACUGCGCUUGGAACUGGCGGACUGGAGUCGCUGAGGGGGAACCGGAAUUCCUGGUGUAGGGGUGAAAUCUGUAGAUAUCUGGAAGAAUACCAAUGGCGAAGGCAGGUUGCUGGCAGAUGACUGACGCUGAGGUGCGAAGGUGCGGGGAGCAAACAGGAUUAGAUACCCUGGUA
rnacentral:rRNA from 1 species